ACGAUUACGAAAACUCAGAUGCCGGAUCUUUUCCACAUGAAAACACUAAUCACUGUAUCGUAUGGUCAUGACAUUCACAUGCACUUUCCAAUCGAUGUGUAGGUGGGAACAGGCAGAGGAUUUAUGAUAGCAUGACAGUACAUAAUCUCACGAACAUCCAUUGCAUGAAACUUGUUUAAUGAUUCAAUUUGGCAACCAUGCUCCCGUAUGUAUUGUAAUCGGCGAUUGUUGUUUACCAAUAAGCUCCUCGAAUAAAACGGCGUGCAUGUCGAGUUCUUAUCAGUAGAUGAGUUUUGGUCGAUGACCGUAAACAAUUGCGACAGUAGUCUAUUGAAAUGUGUACGGGUUUUUAUUUUUAUCAUGCCCACGAAAAGUGUUGUUUGACCUUUGGUUUAUUGUUUAAUUUUUCGAUUAUGACAGUUUUAAUGAUAUAAAGUUUUAUAGACGACUCCCACUUCGUAGCACUGAGUCGGAGGCCGAGUUUCUUACAUGAACGACUCGUUUGACACCGCAAAAUCACCAAGAUUAACUACCAGAGAGCCAUCGGAUAGUUCAACCACAAGCCGUAGGGGCACCCUUGGAGAACAAUAGCCCCAUUUUUGCAUGUGCAUUCCGAUUACACGGACCGUUGUGAACCCCAGUCAAAGAGGCCCUUCGUAAGGAGGGCCUUUUGUCCGUAGCCUAGAACCGUCCCAAGCGACCGUGACGACGAUUGCCGUUGAUCACUACUCCCAGACCUCAUUACCGCAGGAUUGCUGAUUCCCGCAGGCGUGUGCGACGUUGCGACCAUCGCCGACAAGUGCACCUCACUAGCUCGUCGUCGUCGGGCGAACGAAGAACCCUGCGUCACCAUAGUGCAAUGCCCGCGACAUGCGUGCUUGACGCGUGACAGAGGAAGUGCAACACAGUCUCGCUGCAGAGAGACUUCGCGACAACGGACUUGUCGCGCGACAGCCCUAGUGCAUUGGCGGUGCGAGAGAGUGGAGCCGAUCGCAGAGCAUUGCGACAUUCGAGCCGUAAGGCGACGUAACAUACCCAUUCUUCGGGACGUUCGAGAUGCAGUCGGCGCGACAUCACGGGGCCCCCAACGUAGUUCAUCAACAUCAGCGGUUAUAGGGCAGUGCCGAGCUUAGGAGAUGACUGUAUGUAUCUAGUAUAUAAGCAUGAAUGAAGUAGACAAGAAAUGAGCAGCAAAUAUUCUCCCAUUAUACUGAA